rnacentral:rRNA from 1 species
UGAACGCUGGCGGCGUGCCUAAUACAUGCACGUCGAGCGAACAGACGAGGAGCUUGCUCCUCUGACGUUAGCGGCGGACGGGUGAGUAACACGUGGAUAACCUACCUAUAAGACUGGGAUAACUUCGGGAAACCGGAGCUAAUACCGGAUAAUAUAUUGAACCGCAUGGUUCAAUAGUGAAAGACGGUUUUGCUGUCACUUAUAGAUGGAUCCGCGCCGCAUUAGCUAGUUGGUAAGGUAACGGCUUACCAAGGCAAUGAUGCGUAGCCGACCUGAGAGGGUGAUCGGCCACACUGGAACUGAGACACGGUCCAGACUCCUACGGGAGGCAGCAGUAGGGAAUCUUCCGCAAUGGGCGAAAGCCUGACGGAGCAACGCCGCGUGAGUGAUGAAGGUCUUCGGAUCGUAAAACUCUGUUAUUAGGGAAGAACAAAUGUGUAAGUAACUAUGCACGUCUUGACGGUACCUAAUCAGAAAGCCACGGCUAACUACGUG